GUUUGAUUCCUGGCUCAGAUUGAACGCUGGCGGCAGGCCUAACCCAUGCAAGUCGAGCGGAAACGACACUAACAAUCCUUCGGGUGCGUUAAUGGGCGUCGAGCGGCGGACGGGUGAGUAAUGCCUAGGAAAUUGCCUUGAUGUGGGGGAUAACCAUUGGAAACGAUGGCUAAUACCGCAUAAUGCCUACGGGCCAAAGAGGGGGACCUUCGGGCCUCUCGCGUCAAGAUAUGCCUAGGUGGGAUUAGCUAGUUGGUGAGGUAAUGGCUCACCAAGGCGACGAUCCCUAGCUGGUCUGAGAGGAUGAUCAGCCACACUGGACCUGAGACACGGUCCAGACUCCUACGGGAGGCAGCAGUGGGGAAUAUUGCACAAUGGGCGCAAGCCUGAUGCAGCCAUGCCGCGUGUAUGAAGAAGGCCUUCGGGUUGUAAAGUACUUUCAGUUGUGAGGAAAGGGGUAGUGUUAAUAGCGCUAUCUCUUUGACGUUAGCAACAGAAGAAGCACCGGCUAACUCCGUGCCGGCAGCCGCGGUAAUACGGAGGGUGCGAGCGUUAAUCGGAAUUACUGGGCGUAAAGCGCAUGCAGGUGGUUCAUUAAGUCAGAUGUGAAAGCCCGGGGCUCAACCUCGGAACUGCAUUUGAAACUGGUGAACUAGAGUACUGUAGAGGGGGGUAGAAUUUCAGGUGUAGCGGUGAAAUGCGUAGAGAUCUGAAGGAAUACCAGUGGGGAAGGCGGCCCCCUGGACAGAUACUGACACUCAGAUGCGAAAGCGUGGGGAGCAAACAGGAUUAGAAACCCUGGUAGUCCCCGCCGUAAACGAUGUCUACUUGGAGGUUGUGGCCUUGAGCCGUGGCUUUCGGAGCUAACGCGUUAAGUAGACCGCCUGGGGAGUACGGUGGCAAGAUUAAAACUCAAAUGAAUUGACGGGGGCCCGCACAAGCGGUGGAGCAUUUGGUUUAAUUCGAUGCAACGCGAAAAACCUUACCUACUCUUGACAUCCAGAGAAGCCAG
rnacentral:rRNA from 1 species